rnacentral:misc_RNA from 1 species
AAGUCGUAACAAGGUUUCCGUAGGUGAACCUGCGGAAGGAUCAUUAACGAAUAUCUAUGGCGUUGGUUGUAGCUGGCUUCUAGGAGCAUUGUGCACGCCCGUCAUUCAUAUCACCUUUCCACCUGUGAACUAUUUGUAGAUCUGGAUCCCUCUCGCUUUGCUUGCAUGGCGGAUGCAAGGAUUGCUGUGCCUCUGAAAGCCAGCUCUCUUUGAAUUUCCAGGUCUAUGUCUUUUUACACACCCCAGUGCAUAACGCAGAAUGUAUCAAAUGGGCCGUAAGGCCUAUAAACACUAUACAACUUUCAGCAACGGAUCUCUUGGCUCUC